UAUUUCUACACUACUUUUGCUUCAAUUCACAGUGUCAAGCAAACUAUCAGAUGCUGUUAUAUACAGAUGGUCAGCCUUCAAGUGAUGCCACCCUGCUAGCCAGGCAGGCAGACCAACAUUCUUCCUGAACAAAAUAGCAGUCCACUGCAAGUCCGUUGGAAAGCCUAAAGACUAAAGUUGCAGCUGAGAAAGUCAACUGACAUGAAAAACUAGAAGCCAUCUGAAUCUUGAAAAAGAGUUACCUGUAUCUUGAUGAUUUGUUGCAGCUAUCAAAAUGCUGGCGUCAUGACUUCUGCUUAAUGCUCUGUGAACCGUAAAGGCUUUAAAAUGUGACCAACAGUGGCCAGUAGGAAGGAAUACUACAGACGUUCUGAACCUUCUGCAUGCUGAACUUCAUCCCCACAACUUUGAACAGGGACUUAGGCUCAAUUUAGACGGCUAUGUGAAGCUGUUGGAGACUGGUUGGAGAGGGUUGCUGCUAGAAGGCUAUAUGCGUGGCAGCAUGAUUCGGAUCCUUACAAUGCCUACAGAAAGAGUCAGAAGUGGUUAACGGAGAAUUUCUACGACUUCAUCAGCCUCAAUUUUUGGCCUCCUAAUUCCCCAAUGGUAAUCCGAUGGAUUGCUAUGUGAGGGAUGAUCGAGAAAGUGACCAACUAUUCUGUCUGCAAUACCAAGGCCGAGCUGGUGGCCAAGAUCAAGGAAGUGUUUGAAGAUCUUCUCGGGGACACAGGGAGGAACGUAUGCACUAGGUUCCUGAGCCAUCUUUAGGCCAUGAUGGAAGCUGUGGGUGGCUACUUUGAAUAAACUGUUAUCUCCCAGCCUCAA